rnacentral:rRNA from 1 species
CGGCUAACUCCGUGCCAGCAGCCGCGGUAAUACGGAGGGUGCAAGCGUUAUCCGGAUUCACUGGGUUUAAAGGGUGCGUAGGUGGGCAGGUAAGUCAGGGGUGAAAUCUCCGGGCUUAACUCGGAAACUGCCGUUGAUACUAUCUGUCUUGAAUGUACUGGAGGUGAGCGGAAUGUGUCAUGUAGCGGUGAAAUGCUUAGAUAUGACAUAGAACACCCAUUGCGAAGGCAGCUCACUACACUAUUAUUGACACUGAGGCACGAAAGCGUGGGGAUCAAACAGGAUUAGAUACCCUGGUAGUCCACGCCCUAAACGAUGGAUACUCGACGUCAGCGAUACACAGUUGGUGUCUGAGCGAAAGCAUUAAGUAUCCCACCUGGGAAGUACGACCGCAAGGUUGAAACUCAAAGGAAUUGACGG